ACUACAGUGCUGCAUUUUCACCCACUGCAUUUUCAGUUGUGCUGAACUGGAAAGAGAAUACUCCGCUGUGAUUCAAACAACUGUGACGUAUCCACUGCUCUGAAGCAUGUCGCACAGAAAGAAAGACUUGCCUCUUAUGUAAAGGGCUUGAGUUUGGUUUGUUGAAGUGACUAACUUCUGUUGGCUUGAUGGAUCACGUCCUGUUACCAGAACCCAAGGCUGUCUCCAAGGAAUGGAUGCAAGGAAGUUUUCUUUCACUCCCUCUCUCCUCUGGUACUCGCUCUUGUCGCCCAGUCCUGGCAGAUGAUGAAGAAAGGCUUUGCAGCCUUCCCUCUCUUUUCACAGACCAUGCACUACAGUGACAGAGUCAUUACACAAUCUAGUGCAGGAGUUAACUUGUCAUAAAAUCAGCAACUUAAUACAUAGAAUGAACUCUGUUUUCCUGUACUCUGACCGUGUCAGUGGGAGACAGCCAUCAGAAUGCAAUUCAGUUCACCACUGCAGUCCCAUAUGUCUGAAUUUCCUAUGUUCUGCCAUUUGAAGACUUUCUAGAGUGCAUAUUGCUGUGAUGUUAGAAAUGUGGAGAUGUGCUGAUUUAGCUGGAGACAGUAAAUUAUACUAUUGUACCUGACAGCAGGAUUGGCUUAAAAAUUGUAACUAGUGAAAACCUUGUUUGAAGAGAGUGCCUUUCCAGCAAUUCUCAGUGAUAAAGUAAAAGGACAUUAAGUGUGUCAUGUUUAUUACUCAUCAAAAUUAGAUCAAUCAUAACAGAGCUAACAGAUAUGUCUGGUUGAGCUGAAAGAUGAAGAUGGAAGAGGUAGUAGAUAUCACCAAGUAUCUAAGAGAUGCCAGGAGAGACGACAAAUGUGAGUGGAUGAGCUAAAGGGGGACUGGAAAAAUGCAGUCCCAGUCAUUGCCUCAGGGAAGAAAUAGUAAACCUUGUAGAGGUUGAAAAAAUGCCUCAAGUGAGCAGGAAUAGAGAGGUUUGUUUUGUGCCAUUGUCUCUGACUCUCAGUUGCAGUGUCUGCCUCUUCCUCUUAGAGACGUAACCAUAGGGAACGAAUGCUGUGAUGGCUGGGAUUUGGAAUUUUAUUCAUGUUUAGAUUAAAAAGUGAACUGUAAAAUAUGAUUGUGCUUGUGCUGAUUCUUUCUGACCUUAGCAGUGUCCACACUUCAGCACUUGCAGAGACUUGAGAAUCUUUAGCCUGCACUGGUCAAGAUCUUUAUCCUGCAAGGACUCACUUGGGAACAGGUUCUUGUACCUGGGCAGAGAGUAGGAAUGAACUCAAGGUUGAAAGGUGGGUGAUCCAAAUCCAGCUCUCUGAUUUUUCAGAGACUUUGGGAAAGCAGAUACAUAGGUGUGAUCUGUGUGGUUGUUCUAGUUCUUCUCUCUGAAGCAGGAAGAGCACUCUACAGUAAUGUAAGAAGAACAUUGGGGUUUUGCAGAGUACUCAAGUGUCUCUGAUAAUAUGACCAGGGAACUGGUAGGUACAGAAUAGAACCUAUAUCAUUAAAGUAUAUAUUAAUAAGAAAACAACAUCAAUGUAUGUUCAACUAUGAACUGUAUUUCUUCUUAAAUACAUGCCCUUACUUAAGGGACACAUUUGUCUGGAAUGUGCAGGUAACUGUUGUACUGAGAUUUUUAAGUGGACAUUGCACAAUAUCCUUUUCAUUUCCAGUGUCUUAAAAGCUCAUUGGGCUAUAAUAAAAAGAAUAAUGGGAACACUUCAUGCUGCAUUUAGUGAAGUAUCCCAUCCUUUUACAAAUACUUGUUUUUCAAAACCUAGAAUGAGAGCUAAAUUCCUGAGUGGUACCUUUUUUAAAAGGAGAGGUCACAGAGCUUUUUCAAAUACUGAAGAAUGUACUUCAUACAAUAAUACUGCAUAGGUAUGGCACUUCUGUAAAAGUUGGUUCAGAAAGUCUGCACAACACCCCCUCGUUGAUGCUAUAAAUACAUCUUUGUGAUGAAGCUCAAAAUGUGAUGAAAAUAUUUGAUAGUGUGUUUUUAACUUUUUCUACAUCUCUUGGCUUUAAAGAUCAAAGGGUUCACUCCUAGAAUUUACACUCCUCUGAUGUAAUUAAAAUCAGAUAGGUGUACUGUAAAUAGAAUAUGCUCUGUAUGAUGGUAGGUAUGGCUUAGUGUUUCUGAGCAGGAGGUUUCUUGCUGUGGUGAAACAGCUUUUCUUGAUGAGUUGAUUGUCACUGUUUUCAGCAGCACCUCCUUUCAUCUAUUAUUCAUUUUGGAAGACUUAAUAGUAUGGUUUGGGCGUGGGCUGGUACCAGACACCGGCAGAGUAUAACCCCUGCGAAAAUAAGAGAUCCACAGAGCUAGCAGGGAUAGAGUAGAGAACAGUACAAAUGCAUCUUUGCUUUUUAAAAAUAAUUCACCCAUCCAAAAAAAGAGCCACCAUGUUCCAUGCUGUAAACUCUCUCCUGUAGCCUCCUAUUUAAAUGCCCGAUUGAGCAGACAAAGGGUGUUUCUGUUACCUGAUGCCCAUGUAACGUAUGAUGUGAACCAAGACCCCUGUCCUCUAGUGAAAGGAGUAGAUGUGUCCCCAUUGUCUGAUAAGGAUUGGAACAUGGAGCAGUACUUAGGAAGACCGCAUCUAAUGUUUUUAUCUAGCCCAUUAACACAAACUGGGGGUGUUUGUGGAAGGUCUACAGUUUCUUCCCCAUGGUUUAUUGUGAGGUCUAUAGGGCUGCAGCUUGGUGUGCAUGUAAUGACUGUGAAGUCCUAUGUGACCGUGGAUUUGUUGCAGUCGCUAUGUGCAUAUAGAUGGAUAUAUUUAUAGAAGAAUCACUGUGAAUGUGAGAAAUAAGCCUUUGAAGUGUCAAGCCAAAUAUUCUGGGGGGAAAAAAAGAAGAUUUCUUGUCUACAUCAGAAGCUUGCAUUUCAUGUAGACUUGUCUCAUUUUACCCAAAAUACUUCCCCAUAGGUUAGAAGAGCUGAAAACAAUAAUAAUAAUAAUAAUGGGGAAUGUAGAGGGGGGAGGGAGCGUGUGUGUGAGAGAGAGACAGAAGGAGAGGGGAAAUAACAAACAUCCCUGUUUGUUCCUCCUUACUUAGGGCUUCUUUCUUUCCAAUAGCUUUUUCCUCUUUCUUUAUUUCCUGUUUGGUCACUGAGCUGCCAGGCAGCCGGGGCUGUGUUGUUUCCCUUCAGCCAGAGCCCUGCGAGGAGGCGAGGGAGGCAGGACAGCUUCCAUGUGCCGGACCCCCCAGCUCUGGGAUGUGAUGCUAAGUCAGGGUGAUGGGAGGUCUGCCAUGGGUGCGUGCCUCUUGGCUCCCAGCCUGGCUGCCACCACAAAACUAGCCCGAGCCUGACACAGAGCUUUUGCUUUGUUUGUUGCUUCCCUUUGGGAAAGAAAAGGCAUUUGGAUAUUCCAGGGUCACAAAAGGAGUCUGCUAGUCUUUCCUUAAGCUGCUACUGUGAUAUUAUAAGAGUAGGCUGAGUGACUUUUGAGUAUGGAUUAAAGCCAAGGAAUGUUACCGAAAGGAGGCUUUUUGUAGAGCAAAAUAGAAUACAGAUAUUUUUCAAAAUUAACUCUUCAGUUGAUAGCAGUGGCUAUGUGCACUACUCCCAUUCCAAAAAUAGGAAAGCAACCAUUUUUACGAAGACCUGUUCCAGGCCACUGGACAUCUUUGCACAUGUUGCCACUGGGACAUCUCAAAAUCUUGCGUUGGUGCUGCUUUCAGUGAGAAGACCUUACUUUCUCCUACCAGGUUUGAGAAGUGACUCUGCUUCCUUUGCUUAUAUGUUUAUGAUCUGAAUACAGUAUAUCCUCCUCCCAACAGAAAUGCUUAAGUUUUGCCCUAAAAGGAAUAAUCUUGAGAGGACCAUGUAUGGUGCCUGUAUAACCUUCAAAAACAUAUAUUGCAAAUAGUAUGUGGUGCUGUGCAUGAGAAUUCUUACUUGCUUGUAGGUAAUGACGUACAUAGUGCUCGUUAUCUCUGAUAUUAUAGGUGAUCUUUCCAUUCCUUGUUCUUUUUAAUAUAAUGUUUAGUACUGAAGCUGAAGAAAACCAGGAAGGCAAGAGGCCUGACUUAGAAGUGGGACGCAAGAUAUUCUGGUUUUAAAAUACCAUAUGCUUUGUAGUAUUAAGUCUUUUCAUGCUAUGAUGAAAGGUUGUGUGCUAGCAGCAUGCAGUGUUAAGAGGUCAUUUCUGUCCCGAGCUACUAAAUCCUUCCAAAUGCUGCGAUUUUAAACAAGGUUUGUGAAAUGUAGCCAAACUAUUUGUUGUGCUCUUUAUUUGAAAUCCAUUAUUUUGUAUUGUACUAUUGUACAUCCGUGUGAUCUGUUAGAUUGUUUUAGUUUUGUUCUUGGAGAGUGUUAGUAAAGUAGCACUGGAGUAAAAAAAAAAAUAUAUACAUAUAUAUACACACACACAUUUAUAUAUAUAUAUAUAUAUAUUUUUUUUAGUGUUCUGGAGGCUUAAAAAAAACUUUCUAGCUAAAGUAGCAGUAGGUUGCUAGCCGCCAGCUUUAGUAUGCCUUUUGAGUACUUUUAGAGACCCAAAUUAAAUGAGCAAGAGUGUGGAAUGAAGAUGUUGUUGAGAAGUAGCAUCAGCUGUAAGGACCAAUAAUUGCAGAUGCUACAUCUUUUCAUGGAAAUAUCUUGGUUGGACAGGGCCUGCACCUUGUGUUUGGAUUGACUUGUGCUGCGGUAGGUGAAGGUGAAGAUGCAGCAAACACUGCGGGCAGAUGAGCUGGCUGCCAAAAGAAGGGCGUUCUUCAAAUGUAUCGCUGUGGUGUUGAAUGAGAAGCUGAGAAUAUGGUUUGUUUGAGAGAUUUAAAAUAUUGAAGAUGCCGGUAGCAAUAAACGAAAGUGCACCCAUUGGUUAACAGCAUUUGGCUAUAUAUCAAGACCAUUUCUGGAAGUAAAACUUGUAACAUAAAUUACUGAAUACUGAAUUACUGCGAUGUGUUAAGGAUUCUUUUUAAUUACAGGAUGUUAAGGCUUCAAAAAUAAAAUUCUUCAAAGUUAAUCAUGGAGUAAAAUAACUUCA